AUUCAAAUAACACGCAGGCAAUGAUGGAAAUGGAGUCAAGUUUGGGCCGGGAAGCCACCUGCAGCUGGGCGGGCGACUUUGUGAAGAAUGUCCCGAUGAACCACGGCGUGUACACGUGGCCGGACGGCAGCAUGUACGAAGGCGAAGUGGUCAACGGCAUGAGGAACGGAUUCGGGAUGUUCACGUGCAGCACCCAGCCUGUGUCCUACAUCGGCCACUGGUGCGAUGUUAUAAAUCUGGAAAUAUAUACGAAGGCCAGUGGGAAGACAACACACGCCACGGGGAGGGGAGGAUGAGGUGGCUGACCACCAACGAAGAGUACACCGGGCGGUGGGAGAGGGGCAUCCAGAAUGGCUUUGGAACACACACGUGGUUUCUAAAGAGAAUCCGCAGUUCCCAGUAUCCUUUGAGAAAUGAAUACAUAGGGGAGUUUGUAAAUGGAUAUCGUCACGGACAUGGCAAGUUUUAUUAUGCCAGUGGAGCUGUGUAUGACGGAGAAUGGGUUUCCAAUAAGAAACAUGGCAUGGGCCGAUUAACUUUCAAGAACGGGCGUGUGUACGAAGGCGCAUUCUCCAAUGACCACAUAGCCGGGUUUCCAGAUCUUGAAGUUGAAUUCAUCAGCUGCCUGGACCUAUCUUCAGGAGUUGCCCAAAGAUUGUCCAGGAGUGCCGAAUUGAUCAGAAAGCUUGAUGGCAGUGAAAGUCACUCUGUGUUGGGAUCGAGCAUUGAGCUGGAUCUAAAUUUGCUCCUGGACAUGUACCCUGAGACAGUCCAACCUGAAGAAAAGAAGCAGGUGGAAUAUGCUGUCUUAAGAAAUAUUACAGAAUUAAGAAGAAUCUACAGCUUUUAUAGCAGCCUGGGAUGUGACCACUCUCUGGAUAAUACCUUUCUGAUGACAAAGCUUCACUUCUGGAGAUUUCUGAAAGAUUGCAAAUUUCAUCACCACAAACUAACUCUUGCUGAUAUGGACAGGAUAUUAAGUG
rnacentral:sRNA from 1 species